AGGGAGCUGACCUCAAACUCACGCAUGACAGCCCCCAGCAUCUUUACCCUGAGAAUGACAGUUCUUGAUCCCAACGUUCUACGUAGGAAAGCACUAUGAGACAACAGCAAGAAUCAGAUAUCGACUCUGCACUGGUCCCAUUAACAGCUAACUCCAAUCAUAACUUCCACAUAGUACACAGCUACUCUCUGCCAGAGACCUGCUGAAUCCUGCUGCUACAGUACGCAAGAGUCCAGUUGGUAAAGCUUAAAUCUGUGAGAUAAAAAUAGAUGAUGUGCCUCGAUGGCCAAGAACAGAAGGGCAAACGGUAAUUGUUACAGAAAAUUCGAAGGGGGCAGAUCUCCAGAAAACAACAGAGGCGUCACGUCCAGUAGGUUACUGGCUGGGGCGAAUAUUCAACGCCGUGCACAGGGUCUGAGAAGUCUUUGCUGAAUGAAGGUGCUAAGGGGAAGUGACAGCAAAAGCCAUGGGGAAAGUAGCAGGUGGCUCCUCCCAUGGACAGUUGGUCAACUCUAAAUUUCCAGAGUUGUCUUUGACUCUCCAUGCCCUCCUGUAACCUAUGGUCAAGUGUCCUUUUCUCUCUACUUUCUCUGCUACCAUCUUAGUUUGUGUGAUCUCAUAGCUGGCCCAGCUCCAAGGCCUCUUUAACUGAUCUGUCUGUUUCUUUCAUUCCUUUCCGUCCACCCUGCACACCAUCCCCAGCUCCUUCUUUGUGCAGCACCCCCUGACCAUGUGUCACCUCCCAGUUCAAAAACAGCCAAAGGUUUCCAGUGUUUAAUGUGCAAGCGUCUUGUAUCUCACGCAAGGUCUUCUGUGGUCUUUCUGUCCCUCCGUCGUCUCUUCCCUAAGGUCAGCUGUGUGCAGUGCGAAAGAGCCGGGAGGAGAGUGGCAGGCUGGCUCCGAUCCCCUCUGCCGCUCUCAGCCAUGUGACCUCAGACAAGCCACUCAAACCUUCUGGACCUGACAUCUUCAGCAGUAAGAUGAAGAGAUUGAGCCUGAUACCUCUGAAGUCUCUCCCAGUUCUAACAUUCUGUGAUCCCAGGAAAACCACCUCUUCUGCCAAACUGUCGCUGACUCACAAAUAUUCCUAUUGUGUUUCUACCUUUGCUCUUUGGAAUAUGUCUUUUUUUCUUACUUAAAAUGGUAUUCCUCUCCUCCCACCCAAAUCACUCAUCUGCCAUGGCCCCACUGAAGUCCCGCCUCUCUGCAAAGCUUCACUGACACAUCAAGAAUGAGAAGAUCCUUCCUUCUCCUCGACUCCACCACACAUGACACAAAUGCUGCAAUUACUCCGUGUUUGGCUGACUGCAGAGCGAGCUUCGUGCUGUAAGGCGGGGUGCCCUACGUCCCAUACCCAGCGGGCACCCACAAGUGGGCGGUGCCUGGUUUCGGGCAAGAAGAGCAUGAGACCAGCAACCAGGACAUCUGGGCUCUAGUCUCCACUGAUCUUAAAUCCCCGGCAGCAUCUCAGCUUUCUCAUCUGUAAGAUAAGUGCUUUGGACCAGGGCACAAGCUCAUACCUGAGGUUUCUCCCAGAGAUACGG